rnacentral:tRNA from 1 species
GGAGAGGUGACCGAGUGGCCGAAGGUGCACGCCUGGAAAGCGUGUGUACGGCAACGUACCGUGGGUUCGAAUCCCACCUUCUCCGCCA